CCUGUCUCAACAAACAAACAAACAAAAAAUGGGUUAUGAAUUCCCCUCAGAACACUCCUCCUGGCUUCUAACACGCUAGGCCCCUCCUUGCCACCUUCUGGGGGUUCCCGAAGCGCCCUUCAGGGUGUGUCCGAGACGUCGCCAGCUGUACUGUGAGUGUGUGCAAGAGGGAGGCAGCCGUGACGGCGUCACAGGCGUCCUCAGCCGCCUCGCUCACUGCAUCUGGCAGCCCUGCGACUUCCAGCUCCCCCACAGCCAAACUGAGCCUGAAAAGUGAACAUCUGGACUGCACUCAGGGCACCUGCCCAGCACGAGCACCCUAGAGGCCCGGGCAGGACGGCUGAGCUCCGCCUCGGAAAGGCGAGGACGCGGGGAAGGAAGCACCGUCCGGGGGCCCACUGAGACCUCCUGGGUGAUCCCCGGUGACCACGCAGCGAGGGACAGGGGUACAGAACGGGGGCGCAGAAGACACAGGGAGCAGACCCGAGGCAGAGGUGGGGUCCGGGUCUCAGGGAUCCGGUACGAGGGGCGCCCGGGCAGAGCGCGCUGCCGGUCACAGGUCCCGCGUCCCUGUCCCCCCCAGGGCCCCCAGACUCGUCCUCCCCGCCCUCCCUCUCCCCCCACCCGGACGCGAAGCAGGCGCUGCAGAUCCCUGAGCGGCUCCCCGCAGGGCGGCUCUGAGUCCGUCUUCCUGGGGCCCCCGCUGCGUCCGAAGCUCACUGGACCCCUUCGUCCUUCUUAAAUACCGAGCCCAGUUCCGUUUUCGUGUUCACAUCACCCACGGGUGGCCAAAGCUCUCUACGCUUAACGAAAAUCCCCCGCUGCCACCAACCCCUGGGUGGAGGAGGAGCGAAUGGCGUCCGCAGCAGCAUCCGGAGCUGGGAGGCCGCAGAGCAGAACAGAUGGGCUUGUGCUUAGGAAGGCGGCUGUCCUUGGAUGGGGCCCCAUCGGUGCCCCGAGCGCAGCUCCCCUCCUGAGACUGCCUUCUGCCAUCCACCUCCCCAGGCCUCACUGAGCCACUGGCCGAAGCCCCGGGCCCCUCCAGCUUUCCAAAGGCUUCCGGGAGGCUCUCUGCUUCAUCGGAAGCCUGAAAAUAAAGUUCCUAUCAAGGGUUAGACUUGUAAUAGCUGCCAGAUAGGGUGGCACAUGCCUGGCAUCCCAGCAAUCUGAAGACAGAGACAGGAGGGUCACAAAUGUAAGCCCAGUCUGGGGAACUCAUCGACAGCAAAUCAGAAAAUCAGAAAGGCUGGGGAAGCCGGGCGUGGUGGCAAGACCAGCCCGGGCUACACAGUGAGCUCCAGGUCAGUC